GGCCUAAUGGUCAGGGCAAUGAUGAUGUAGGAAUUUAAUAAUAGUGCUCCUGUCUUCAAUUGCCAGCAGCGAGUGUUCCACAGACUUCGAGUCGACCUCAGCUCUAGUCAAUCUCAAGAUCAUCGGAUUUCAGGGUGAGCUAUCCUUCUAGCUCGUGAUGGAUCUCUCGGUUAUGGCAUGGUGUCUUUAGUUUUUGGACACAUUUUGUUAUUUGUUUAUUCUGGUGUUUGAUAUUUCCAGACUUAGUUUUAGAAUUUAGAUGUCUUUCAUGUGAUGACUUUCAGGUUUUGGAAAAACGUAUUUAUUUGAGAUUCCGCGUUAUUGUUA